rnacentral:rRNA from 1 species
CGGCAAUAGCUCAAAUUUGAAAGCUGCCAACAGGCCGCAUUGUAAUUUGUAGAAGAUGCUUUGGGUGCCGGCCUUGUCUAAGUUCCUUGGAACAGGACGUCAUAGAGGGUGAGAAUCCCGUACGUGAUUAGGCUUAACCCCGUGUAAAGCUCUUUCGAC